rnacentral:rRNA from 1 species
UACGUAGGGGGCAAGCGUUGUCCGGAUUUAUUGGGCGUAAAGAGCUCGUAGGCGGUUUGUUGCGUCGGCUGUGAAAUCCCGAGGCUCAACCUCGGGUCUGCAGUCGAUACGAGCAAACUAGAGUGUUGCAGGGGAGACUGGAAUUCCUGGUGUAGCGGUGAAAUGCGCAGAUAUCGGGAGGAACACCUAUGGCGAAGGCAGCUCGCUGGGACGGUACUGACGCUGAGACGCGAAAGCGUGGGGAGCAAACAGG